GAUGAAGAACGCAGCGAAAUGCGAUACGUAAUGUGAAUUGCAGAAUUCCGUGAAUCAUCAAAUCUUUGAACGCAUAUUGCGCCCAAGGCUUCGGCCGAGGGCAUGUCUGCCUCAGCGUCGGUUUACACCCUCGCUGCCCAACCUUUCGGUUGGUCCAGCGGAUCUGGUCGUCUCAGCUGAUUCAAUUGGCUGCGUCGGCUGAAAUACGAUGCUUGCACAUGGACCCUUAUCGGGCAUCAACUGGAUAGGUAUACCGCCCUACGGCGAAUACACGAAGUUGUUGCCUUGUGACAUGUUUAAGCAGCAGGAAACUUAUUAACCAUUCGACCUGAGCUCAGGCAAGGCUACCCGCUGAACUUAAGCAUAUCAAUAAGCGGAGGA
rnacentral:misc_RNA from 1 species